CUUGGAAAGAGAACUUGCCUUAUUGGACAGUGGAUGGAAGAAUCAGGAUUACCACAUGGAAACCAAGUUUUCUGGCAAGAAGAAAAAGUAGUAGAACAAAAGUGCAUCCAACACUCUUGCUUAGACCUAACCUUUGGUUCCAGCACGCUAUGGUGUUCAAUAACAAGCAUUUGAAUAAUUACAAGGCAGUGGAGAAAGAAGACAAAGGUUGAGCUAUUUGGAUUCUUGCUGUAUGAAAUCAUUUCUUUCUACUUUAUUCAACAUUAAUUAUAGUUGUUCCUUUAGAAUUUACCAUGGUCAUAAUACAACAGCAUGAGAGGGACCAUACAUGCAGAGUGAUUAUAUUAAUUUAAGUAUAGAAGAUAAAAUACAUCACAUCCCUCCAAAAAGACUAGAAGGUAAGUUGUGUAGGUCCCCAGGUAUAACCCACUCAGGUCCAAUGAUGGUAAAUUCCUAGAGCUCCUAAGUC
rnacentral:lncRNA from 1 species